GAGGAAAAGAAACCAACAGGGAUUGCCCCAGUAACGGCGAGUGAAGCGGCAACAGCUCAAAUUUGAAAUCUGGCCCCCAGGGCCCGAGUUGUAAUUUGCAGAGGAUGCUUUUGGCGCGGUGCCUUCCGAGUUCCCUGGAACGGGACGCCAUAGAGGGUGAGAGCCCCGUCUGGUCGGACGCCUAGCCUGUGUAAAGCUCCUUCGACGAGUCGAGUAGUUUGGGAAUGCUGCUCUAAAUGGGAGGUAUAUGUCUUCUAAAGCUAAAUACCGGCCAGAGACCGAUAGCGCACAAGUAGAGUGAUCGAAAGAUGAAAAGCACUUUGAAAAGAGGGUUAAAUAGUACGUGAAAUUGUUGAAAGGGAAGCGCUUGUGACCAGACUUGGGCCCGGUGGAUCAUCCAGCGUUCUCGCUGGUGCACUCCGCCGGGUUCAGGCCAGCAUCAGUUCGCCGCGGGGGAAAAAGGCUUCGGGAACGUGGCUCCUACGGGAGUGUUAUAGCCCGUUGCAUAAUACCCUGGGGCGGACUGAGGUUCGCGCUCCGCUAGGAUGCUGGCGUAAUGGUCAUCAG
rnacentral:rRNA from 1 species